GUACACUCCUACGGGAGGCAGCAGUGGGGAAUAUUGGACAAUGGGCGCAAGACUGAUCCAGCCAUGCCGCGUGAGUGAUGAAGGCCCUAGGGUUGUAAAGCUCUUUCACCGGUGAAGAUAAUGACGGUAACCGGAGAAGAAGCCCCGGCUAACUUCGUGCCAGCAGCCGCGGUAAUACGAAGGGGGCUAGCGUUGUUCGGAUUUACUGGGCGUAAAGCGCACGUAGGCGGACUAUUAAGUCAGGGGUGAAAUCCCGGGGCUCAACCCCGGAACUGCCUUUGAUACUGGUAGUCUUGAGUUCGAGAGAGGUGAGUGGAAUUCCGAGUGUAGAGGUGAAAUUCGUAGAUAUUCGGAGGAACACCAGUGGCGAAGGCGGCUCACUGGCUCGAUACUGACGCUGAGGUGCGAAAGCGUGGGGAGCAAACAGGAUUAGAUACCCGAGUAGUCCC
rnacentral:rRNA from 1 species